rnacentral:rRNA from 1 species
AUUGAACGCUGGCGGCAGGCCUAACACAUGCAAGUCGAGCGAGCGGCGGACGGGUGAGUAAUGUCUGGGAAACUGCCUGAUGGAGGGGGAUAACUACUGGAAACGGUAGCUAAUACCGCAUACUAUCAGAUGAGCCUAGGUGGGAUUAGCUAGUUGGUGGGGUAAAGGCCUACCAAGGCGACGAUCCGUAACUGGUCUGAGAGGAUGAUCAGGCACACUGGAACUGAGACAGGGUCCCGACUCGUACGGGAGGCAGCAGUGGGGAAGAUGGGACAAUGGGCGAAAGCCUGAUGCAGCCAUGCCGGGUGUUGGAAGAAGGUCUUCGGAUUGUAAAGCACUUUAAGUGGGGAGGCGUUAACAACAGAAGAAGCACCGGCUAACUACGUGCCAGCAGCCGCGGUAAUUC